GGAUGUGGCCCUCCCUCCGCAAGUUCUUGGUCACAUACGAGUCCUUCUUGGCCUUUCGCUUGUCAAUCACCUUCACCGCCACCUGGAGAAUUUGCGACAGGAGGGAGAGAGAGAAAGAGGAUGGGACUGAGUUCAAGAGCGUGGCUACCACACACAGCAAAUCAUCUCAAGGAGAGCACACAGACAUGGAAAGGCAUGACCAGUGAAACUAAUCACCAUAUCCAUUAAUGAAAUGGCUUGCGCGCCCACAGCGGUGAGAUCACCAUCACCACCAGCAGACAAAGCAGAGCCACAGAGCACACAACUACUUAACCAACACAUGUUGGGAGGAAGGACAAGCACCCCUCUCUCUCUCUGUCUCUCUCCCUCUCUCACACACACAAAAAGUAAAUAUUGUCCCUAGAGCUUGGCUAGAAAACAAGCCCUGCUGUGCAUAUAGCUGGAUUCAGCAGCUGGUGGUGCCUCAUGAGCUCAUUAACAAAGGCUUCCACUGCAAGCAGGGCUGAUCACUUUCCCCGAGGAAGCUGAGGACUGAUUUAUCAGUGAGACCUGGACUGACACAUAAUGGACAAGAUGUAUGGCUAAACUCUUAUUAAGAGUAGGUGAGGAGUUCACAUGCAGCAGAGAGGAAUGUAUUUCCAAGCAUGAGCAUGAGCCAAGUGACAGCUGACACUGCCAUGUGAAAUGGAAUUUAAAACCAUAUCAGACCCCCCUUAUGCAAUGUCACUCAUUUUAAAUGUUAAAAUACAGGUUGUUACAGGCUGAGCAAACCCAGAUAGUUUUCCUUUUUUAAAGUGUUUUUUCUACCUCAAAAGUUGGAUUUUUAUUUGAAAAUUAGACCUGUAAUAACUGUGUUAAUUCUUAUGAUAUGUGAUAUGAGCAUGCCAAGACAUACAAAACUUAUUAAACUUAAAACUCUGUUGCAUUUUGCACUUUGUAAACGGCACA